rnacentral:rRNA from 1 species
AUUGAACGCUGGCGGCAGGCCUAACACAUGCAAGUCGAGCGGAGCGGCGGACGGGUGCGUAAUGCCUAGGACUCUGCCUGGUAGCGGGGGAUAACGUCCGGAACCGGGCGCUAAUACCGCAUCCUCUCGGAUGAGCCUAGGCCGGAUUAGCUAGUUGGUGGGGUAAAGGCCUACCUAGGCGACGAUCCCUAACUGGGCUGAGAGGAUGAUCAGUCACACUGGAACUGAGACACGGUCCAGACUCCUACGGGAGGCAGCAGUGGGGAAUAUUGGACAAUGGGCGAAAGCCUGAUCCAGCCAUGCCGCGUGUGUGAAGAAGGUCUUCGGGUUGUAAAGCACUUUAAGUUGGGAGGCGUUACCAGCAGAAUAAGCACCGGCUAACUUCGUGCCAGCAGCCGCGGUAAUUC